UACGUAGGGAGCAAGCGUUGUCCGGAAUCAUUGGGCGUAAAGCGCGCGUAGGCGGCCCUGUAAGUCCGUUGUGAAAGUCAAAGGCUCAACCUUUGAAAGCCGAUGGAUACUGCAGGGCUAGAGUCCGGAAGAGGCGAGUGGAAUUCCUGGUGUAGCGGUGAAAUGCGCAGAUAUCGGGAAGAACACCCGUGGCUAAGGCGGCUCUCUAGUACGGUACUGACGCUGAGACGCGAAAGCGUGGGGAGCGAACAGG
rnacentral:rRNA from 1 species